GGAGUGUUAGUAAAACAAUUACAUAACCUUGUCAAGGCUAAAUCGCAAGUGAAAAUCCUGCACACCCCA
rnacentral:tRNA from 1 species